rnacentral:tRNA from 1 species
GGGGGUAUAGGUAAGUGGUAUAACACAUGCUUUGCAUGUAUGAUCUCAGCCUCCCACCUCCCCAAACAGUAGAAUUUUUAUGCAAAUGAUUUUUUUGUCUGAGGCUCUGAGGCCCCAGGUUCAAUCCCUUGUACUACCA